rnacentral:rRNA from 1 species
UAAUACGUAGGCAGCAAGCGUUGUUCGGAGUUACUGGGCGUAAAGGGUGUGUAGGCGGUUGUUUAAGUUUGGUGUGAAAUCUCCCGGCUCAACUGGGAGGGUGCGCCGAAUACUGAAUGACUUCGAGUACGGGAGAGGAAAGUGGAAUUCCUGGUGUAGCGGUGAAAUGCGUAGAUAUCAGGAGGAACACCGGUGGUGUAGACGGCUUUCUGGACCGUAACUGACGCUGAGACACGAAAGCGUGGGUAGCAAACAGGAUUAGAUACCCUGGUAGUCCACGCCCUAAACGAU